rnacentral:rRNA from 1 species
GAUGAACGCUGGCGGCGUGCCUAAUACAUGCAAGUCGAGCGAACAGAUAAGGAGCUUGCUCCUUUGACGUUAGCGGCGGACGGGUGAGUAACACGUGGGUAACCUACCUAUAAGACUGGGAUAACUUCGGGAAACCGGAGCUAAUACCGGAUAACAUUUGGAACCGCAUGGUUCUAAAGUGAAAGAUGGUUUUGCUAUCACUUAUAGAUGGACCCGCGCCGUAUUAGCUAGUUGGUAAGGUAACGGCUUACCAAGGCGACGAUACGUAGCCGACCUGAGAGGGUGAUCGGCCACACUGGAACUGAGACACGGUCCAGACUCCUACGGGAGGCAGCAGUAGGGAAUCUUCCGCAAUGGGCGAAAGCCUGACGGAGCAACGCCGCGCGAGUGAUGAAGGGUUUCGGCUCGUAAAACUCUGUUAUUAGGGAAGAACAAAUGUGUAAGUAACUGUGCACGUCUUGACGGUACCUAAUCAGAAAGCCACGGCUAACUACGUG